rnacentral:tRNA from 1 species
AGCCCUGAGGUGAAUAAGCACAUUAGUUUGCAAAUCUAAAGGUGCAGGUUAGACCCCUGCCGGGGCUU